CCAGACUCCUACGGGAGGCAGCAGUAGGGAAUUUUCGUCAAUGGGCGCAAGCCUGACCCAGCAACGCCGCGUGAAGGAAGAAGGCUUUCGGGUUGUAAACUUCUUUUCUCAGGGACGAAGCAAGUGACGGUACCUGAGGAAUAAGCCACGGCUAACUACGUGCCAGCAGCCGCGGUAAUACGUAGGUGGCAAGCGUUAUCCGGAUUUACUGGGUGUAAAGGGCGUGUAGGCGGGACUGCAAGUCAGAUGUGAAAACCACGGGCUCAACCUUGGAACUGCAUUUGAAACUGUUGGUCUUGAGUAUCGGAGAGGCAGGCGGAAUUCCUAGUGUAGCGGUGAAAUGCGUAGAUAUUAGGAGGAACACCAGUGGCGAAGGCGGCCUGCUGGACGACAACUGACGGUGAGGCGCGAAAGCGUGGGGAGCAAACAGGAUUAGAUACCCCUGUA
rnacentral:rRNA from 1 species